AUUUAGAUAGUUUAAUUAAAACUUUGAUUUGUGGUGUCAAAAAUGAAUUUUUUCUCUAGAUU
rnacentral:tRNA from 1 species